rnacentral:lncRNA from 1 species
AUCGGGUCUCCGAGCAGCGGGAGCUGGAAUGGAACUAAACCAAAUCGGGGAUCUAGCAACUUCCAACUCCAAGGGGCUGUGGCAGAGCUGAAGGUGGCGCCGACGGAUGCUCCCAUCCCAGGGGGGCUGGCUACAGCCUUGAGGCGCCUGUCCAGCUCCUGGUCCUCCUCCUGGGGAUCCCAGUGCCGGAAGGAAGCAGGAAGCCUCUCAGGAUGCGGGAGGUGGUCUCUUCUCUUGCACCCCAACUGCUGGCGAGGAAACCCAGAUGUCCCCCCUCCCUCGUGGGAAGCACAGACCCAUUCCCAGAGCCACCGGGCUCCGGGUGACCGGUGGGAGGCACCUUACCCGUUGGUGCGUUGGAGAACGCCCUCCCCAAGUCCUGGCACCGUCUCCCAGGCCUCCUCCCAAGAAGCUGACCUGGAACUGGACUCCCAAAUAAACAGUAACUAAUUGGAUUAGGAGCUGAUAAUAUUGUUGACCUUUCCUAAUGUCUACUGGCUGGCUCUGCACACACCGAGGCUUAAUUGUAUGGGGUGGGGAGGAGGGCGGGGGCUUCCAGGAGUGAAACGUGACCCCUGUUAACCUCAGACAAACCGGCUCAGCGUCUUCCCAACUGCCUGCCAUCCCCAGCGGAGCAGGAACGCACAGGCUCCCACUCGUGCACGGGUGUGCAUGCAGAGACGCGCAGGCUCCCAGAGGCACUCUGCGUUCACACAUGCGCACACGACUCUGACCUGUAUCAUAUAUGUGCACAAGUCAUGCUUGAAUGAUACACAUACAAAACUACAUGCUGUCCGGUAGACAAGGAUAUGCAUAAACCCAGGGAGGCCGACCUGCAGGCUGCAGGCGCUACAUGCUACAUGCAAAUGUAAUCGUACAUAUGCUGCAACUGUGUAACAGGCGCACUAGCGAGCACACAGAUACACACUGGUGAACAAAGGCGCACCGACAGGCGCACAGGCGGACGCAAGAUGCCCGCAUAGGUGAGCCCCACCUCUGCCACUCAGGCAGUUUGCUCGACCCCCAAGCUCUACUGCUGUCCGUGUUUGUCCCUGGGGCCCUGACUACGGAUCCCCUGGAGUUCGGCGGCCCCUCGAGCCCUGACAGCUGACGUGGACUGAGACCUAGCUGGCUAGGGGGGCCUGGAGGGGCCCAGGGGGUGGGGCGCGAGGAGGGGGAGGGGGAGGGGA